rnacentral:rRNA from 1 species
UACGAAGGGGGCUAGCGUUGUUCGGAAUCACUGGGCGUAAAGGGUGCGUAGGCGGCGCGGUAAGUCGGGUGUGAAAUCUCGGAGCUUAACUCCGAAACUGCAUUCGAUACUGCCGUGCUUGAGGACUGGAGAGGAGACUGGAAUUUACGGUGUAGCGGUGAAAUGCGUAGAUAUCGUAAGGAAGACCAGUGGCGAAGGCGGGUCUCUGGACAGUUCCUGACGCUGAGGCACGAAGGCCAGGGGAGCAAACGGG